CCGAUAUGGCGAGCUGAUCAGCCAUGCCGCGUGUGUGAGAAGGUCUUCGGAUUGUAAAGCACUUUAAGUUGGGAGGAAGGGCAGUAAGUUAAUACCUUGCUGUUUUGACGUUACCAACAGAAUAAGCACCGGCUAACUUCGUGCCAGCAGCCGCGGUAAU
rnacentral:rRNA from 1 species